AUGUCUCUUCUCUUACACCAGGUCUGUUCUUUGCCUCCUUGGGAGGGAACCGGCUCUUGCCACAUCUCUGCACUUUCCAGCACAGUGAGCCCCUGUCAGGAGCCUUCAGCCACUCCAGAACCAAAGCACAGGGAAACCACAGACAAGAACCAGGGUGUUGCAACACCAUUGUACUGUCACAAGUCAUCGUGGCUAAAAAUAAACUGCUGCUAAACAACCCUCAGACUCACUUUCACCAAAUGCUGUAAGGAGGACGCCCAUCAAGAGCACUAACUCAGGGCACAAAUAACUUCAAAAACUCUGAGGGAUUUAAUUUUUUGUCUCUCUUCUGAGGUUAAGUCCCCCCAAGCUCCUGUCCUGAUCCUCCAUGAUCCCGAUCAAGUACCCUGGAGCACCUGUGGCUUCUCCACAAGCUCUUCAAGGUGAAGGUUUUUUCCCUGCUUUCCUCACUUCAGGGGUCUCAUGGAGCCCCAGGAGGGCAAAUCCCCAUGUGGGGACAGAACAACCCUCACCUCUGCUUUGAGCUGAGUUGAAGAGUGCUGUGAGCUCUGGUUCUCAGCUCGCCCUGUCAUGCUUUGUGGUGAUAUGCAAGUUUUGCACAGCUCUGCAGGGAGUGGGGAGCCAGCCUUGCGGAAAGCCGCCCGCCUGUGGACAAAAGCCAGAAACAAAGCCCAGUGAGCUGUUCUGUCUGAGCCAGGACUGCUCCAUCUCCGGCUUCUGCUGGUACUGGCAGCAGUGGAAAGCCAGGGUCAUCUUCUCAGCUGAUCUUGCUUCAGUCUUAGCAGGUUAUCUGAAGUUCAGCUCUCCCCCGCUGCCCCUGUGUGAGCCUGUUGUGUGAUAGCUGCCCUGAGUGGCAGCCACACGCUGUCCUGUUGUUUGAAAGGCUGUGCUAGGCAGGCUCCUGUCAGCUCUUCACCUUUUAAAACAAGCUGCAGAGAGUGGAUCUGUUCCAUGAGCUCCUGAGGACACUUUUGUCAAGUGUCUCUGUGCACAUCAGACCCAGUCCCACUGCAGCAGCUGCUUCCCGUGACCAAGACAACAGCUCUCAGCUUCGGAGUGUGCCUCAUUCACACGAUCUUCCUUCCUUAUCCCACACACUUUCUUUCCAUUCUUUUCCAGCUCUGUGAGAAAGAUGAAGAGCCUGGAAACAAAAAGUUAGUUUUUCCCUCCCUCUCUCCCAAAUGCAGAGGUGAUCUGCAGCCCCACGAGACCC
rnacentral:lncRNA from 1 species